ensembl:lncRNA
GUCUGCAGCUCUGUGGUAGGGUCAGUGGCGACCUUCAAGAGGGUUCAUGCCAAGGGAGCCCUUCCAGUGCCCCGGCCCUCAGUGAUCAGCCCUGCCAACCCACACCUCCACAAGAGGCCCUCCAACACUAGCAGGCUAAACUAAUAAUGAGUAUUGAAGGCGCAGAGGAAAUACGCAUUUCAUUCUUCAGUCUUAAGCUAAUGAACCACUGCUUUCCAAAGGAACGAGGGAGCCAGUCUGGGGGCUGGGCCCCAGUUUGAGUGGAGAACCGCGGUGGGCAGGCUGAAGGCGGAGCCGCUCUGUCAAUCAGAUGACUCUUCUUGGCGGGCUGAAUGCACAAACAGGAAGUGGAUCAGCCCUCCGGAGGGGAGCAGAAGUGAACAGGCCCCUCGGAGCGAGGCUUGGCUUGAAGCCGUGGACGGGCUGGGGGAUUCUGUGGAUCUGGCUGCACUGUGCCCACCUGGCUGCAUUCUGCCCAUCUCAGCAGUUCACCUUGGCAUCUGAGAUCCGCUGGCCUGCAGCUGGGAGCUGGCUUGUCUACAGUGAUCACCUAGGAUGACUUGUCCACGUAAGGCCUUCUGAGGACUGGAUAUGAACCCCAGGCCCCUUCACGUUCGAUUAGGCGAAGCAAGUAGGAAAAUCAGUGGGUGCUGCUUAGUCACGUGGCAGAGUGUGGCGGGCUAGGGGACCGGGUCAUUCUUGCUGACGCUGAUCGGCAUGGAAAUGUCACACAAUACGAGUGAAGACCGUGCCACUACCCAGGAAUGGAAGGAGCACGUGAGAGGGUGGGAGAGAUGAGUCAGGGAAGUUUAUAGCUCCCUGGGCCUUGUAAGUGGACGUAAGACAUGCAAACUGUGGGUCAAGUAAGACUUGGGAGGACUGCAGGCAGGGCUGUGAUGGGAUCUGUUUCUCCCUUUAGGGAAAUAACUCUGGCCGCGUAGAGAGGAUGGAUUGGAGGCUUCAGACCUUAGCCUUGUAAACAAAUAUCUGAGAUGGAGCUCUGCGUAGUUACCUAUUUAUUUAUAUCCCACCUCAUUCCAGGAAAGAUAUGAUGCCACAACUCUCCCAUAGUUGCUAUCAAAAAUAUAUGUAUUUAUGCCCUGUCCACGUCUAAAAAGAAUCUGAAGCAGCUCUAAUUGAAUUCAGCCCAGAAACCAUCUUGGAGGUAUGUCGUGGUCUGUCUUAACUGAGCCACCAGCAAAUGAAGCUCCCAGAGCUUCUAGCCAAAGGAUAUUCCUGGAGGUGAAAUAAACAGAGGUGAAUUUGGCUGCUUAAAAACACAUGUAAGUUCUUUAUUUAGAACUCUGAUUCCAUGGCGGCUGAAGAGAAAGAAAGGUACCGCGGGCAGGGUGAGUUCAAAAGAAAUAUUUACCAUGCCAGCCCAUCUUAGGACACACAGCAAUCAUUUCUGCUUAGCAAACACAAAAUAGGCUGGUAAAACUGAUACCCUGCCUGCAGAAUAAAGCUGAAAUCACCAAAAAGGCUCUGCAGAGAUUAAACAAGUAACUGGCAAAGCUAAAGUGGAUCGAAGUCUGUCCUUAACGUUGAGAUAAGAUCUAUUUUGCUCCCAUUCUUAUAUUUGCAUAUGAAAGCAAAGUGGAGCAAGUGAGGGUCAGAGGCACUCGGAUUUUCUAAGAAGGUUCUUCCUGACACUCAAUCAGUUGGGUCUUCAGUAACCAAGAGGGAAAAUUCAUUUCUUAAGUUCCAUGUUAGUCAAUGGAGUAAAUCCUACAGUUUUCAGGAUUAAGAAUCUCGAUCCUACCAUUUUCAUUCAACAUACCUCUGCGUCUACUGAAGACUCACUACGCGGCUCUGUGCUGAAUCCCAUCUCAUCUUGUUUCAUCUCAUCUGGGCUCCAGAGUUGAGUAAGAUAAAUGCUCUUUGUUCUAAAGUUGCUCUUAUAUAGGGAAUAAGAUGAAGGGCCACAGAUCUUAUUAAGUAGUAGUAUCUAAAUUGGAGAAGACAGUGGCACCCCACUCCAGUACUCUUGCCUGGAAAAUCCCAUGGAUGGAGGAGCCUGGUGGGCUGCGGUCCAUGGGGUCGCUAAGAGUUGGACACGACUGAGCGACUUCACUUUCACUUUUCACUUUCAUGCACUGGAGAAGGAAAUGGCAACCCACUCCAGUGUUCUUGCCUGGAGAAUCUCAGGGACGAGGGAGCCUGGUGGGCUGCCGUCUAUGGGGUCGCACAGAGUUGGACACAACUGAAGCGACUUAGCAGCAGCAGCAGCAGUAUCUAAAUAUGAACGAAAUGCCACGAGGCUCCAGGGAAGAGGGCGAAAGUCAUGGUUUACUCCAUAUCACUGCCCUUUGGUCUUGGAGUUUGUAUUCUUGUGACAAAAGGUAAAACAGAACCGUGGUCUUGCUUUCUGCAUGCUAAUACAGGCUGAGGUUCAUUUAAUCGUGGGUCUCGACUCCCCAGACCACAGACAAUGUUUCUGUCUGGAAUUAUCAUAUAGCUUCUUUAGUCCAAAAUGAUCCCAGAGAGGCUGUGACAGACACUUCAUAGUGCAUAUGCGCUGCUGAGAUGCUUAUCUUAUUUACAGACAUGAUACUAAUAAGAGUCCUGCACUUCCGGGGGCAACCCCAGUUUACGCCUGUUAUCCCAAGGUGUUUGUUAAUAACAGUCCCCUCUAAAGAGCUCUAGUUUGGAGGAUAAAUUGUAUAGUUGUCAUGAAAAGUGAAAAGUGAAAAAUGUUAGUUCCUCAGUGUAGCGGCCCAGCGAUUGAACCUGGGUCUCCUGCCUUGGAGGCAGAUUCUUGACCAUCUGAGCCACCAGGGAAGCCUGAUGGUCACGGUACUGAUAUUAAAGACAAUCCCUGGUUAAACCUCAGUGACGGAGCUGGUUUUCCACUCAUGGUUCUUCUUGGUGGGCUGCAAGUCAUCCCCACUCCCAUUCACAACUGCUCUUUGGACCAGGAAUGUGAACUCACGAUGUCUGGCCUCAUUUGAGUGCUGUUGGUGGUUACACAACAUGUUUUCUCAGAGCGGGGCUAACUAUUCUCUGUAGAGGCAAAGCCCACAGGACCUGGGAUCACGCCCUUGCACCAACCAAGAGGGAAGCUGACUCCAGCAACAGCUCGAUAAUUGCAAUCUUGGCAAUGAUGAGACAGACACUCCCUCCAUAUACUCUGCACCCGAACAAAAAUUCACACGUCACUCUUGAAUGCUCACCACUGUGUUAGUCAACGUGUAUUUCAAUACACGAGUAUUUGUUGAAGGUUUGUCAUUGCUUCUUAAAAUAUGCUGAAAAUAAAGGUUUUAAAGAGAAUUUUAUAAGGUCCUAGGACAAAAUCUUUCCUGCUCUGUGUGUUUUGGGGGGGAUACAAGGAUUUUGACCCUUGAUCUCUUUUCCAGUCACGAAUUCUACAUCUAUUUUUCAUGUAAACGGAUGGCUCUUCAGUGAACUAUCCUUAGGCACUUUAAGAACUGGAUGCGACUCAACGGUUCUUUGGUUAGUAAAUUGUUACGGCUUGGAUUUCUAUAAUAAUUACUCUUUAGAAAGGGGGUUGUGUGAGUUCUAUUAUUAUAUGAACUACUGGAAAGACAGACCGGUUUUUGAGUCUGAACUUUGCCAGUCUACAACUGUGUGAC